rnacentral:rRNA from 1 species
AUUGAACGCUGGCGGAAUGCUUUACACAUGCAAGUCGAACGGCAGCACGGACUUCGGUCUGGUGGCGAGUGGCGAACGGGUGAGUAAUGUAUCGGAACGUGCCCAGUCGUGGGGGAUAACGUAGUGAAAAUUACGCUAAUACCGCAUACGAUCUAUGGAUGAAAGCGGGGGAUCGCAAGACCUCGCGCGAUUGGAGCGGCCGAUAUCAGAUUAGGUAGUUGGUGGGGUAAAGGCCCACCAAGCCAACGAUCUGUAGCGGGUCUGAGAGGACGACCAGCCACAAUGGCACGGAGACACGGUCCAGACUCCUACGGGAGGCAGCAGUGGGGAAUUUUGGACAAUGGGCGAAAGCCUGAUUCAGCCAUUCCGCGUGCAGGAUGAAGGCCCUCGGGUUGUAGACUGCUUUUGUACAGAACGAAAAGGUUUCUACUAAUACUAGGAGCUCAUGACGGUACUGUAAGAAUAAGCACCGGCUAACUACGUGCCAGCCGCCGCGGUAA